rnacentral:tRNA from 1 species
GCCUGGGUGGCUCAGUUGGUUGGGCAUCUGACUUCAUCUCAGUUCAUGAUCUCACAGUUUGUGGGUUCAAGCCCCACAUCGGGCU